rnacentral:lncRNA from 1 species
CCAAAUUCUUUUAUAAAGUAUUACACACUAUUUUUUAAAAGUUGAUCGUAUAUAGUAAAGUUACCUCACAUCUGUCUAAUCUAUCUACUUAUAGCACACAGAUCACCAUAGUAUCUGACUCUCUCUGAGUUAUGGGAGAAUGUUGUCUCUUCAGAUCCACACUUGAGGAGUCUUGAAAUUGGGCUUGCAGGUGUAAGAAACUUUCACAGUAGUGACUUUUAGAAGGUCUGACCUUGGAUGGAGUGUUUUCAAAAAGGAUAUAAAGAAAGAUGUUCCUCAGCUCCUUUCCACUGCUGUCUUCCAACCAACGAUAUUCUGAAGAAAACAGAAGGGUCAGUGUGAAUCUGCAGAGGCAAUAGAUUUGAACAAACAGUAAGGAAAAAACACAAAAUCAGCUUUAAGAAUCUAAAAAUCAGUGAGGUUUUGGAGGAAGAUAUCCUGGUACAAGAAGUACAACUACACAGUCACCAGUGGAUUUUAAUACUGGAAUUCUGAGAACUGAUAUUGUGGACCAGAUUCUCGUCUUGCCUACAGCAGGUUUCACUGGUGGAUGUAAUUUCAUUAUUUCAAGGGCAUUACACUGAUUAAAUCAAGACUAAGUGCAAGGAGGAUUGGGCCCUUCACAUUUAAUAAAGAACAUUUUAUAUUAAAUGUGUUUCUCUUCUAUAUGAAACUCUUCCAUAAGAAGGAAGCAGAAGAAACAAUAUUAGAAAUGUCAAAUCUCAUCGUCCUGGGUAUAGCUGGAGGAACUCCUGCAGAUCCUAGUGUGUAUGUAUUGUAAACAAAUGCAUAUUUUCCCCAAAAUGUUCAUUAGGUCAGUUCAAUGGGUAUUGCCAAAAUUCUAAACAACCUAAAACUCCCUUCCCCUCCCCUCUCAGCUAAGCUCUUGCUAUGAAAGCUCAAAUGUGCCAAGAAAUAAGAAGACAAAGGUGUCUAUAAACCACCUCCCUUGAUCCUGGGGCUAGCCAAGGUCUCAGCUGGUCUUUAGUACAAGUUAGAACAUCUUAUAGAUCCUUUUAAUGUAUUCUCAUCUGUAG